rnacentral:rRNA from 1 species
UAAGGAAUAUUGGUCAAUGGACGCAAGUCUGAACCAGCCAUGCCGCGUGAAGGAUGAAGGUCCUCUGGAUUGUAAACUUCUUUUAUCUGGGACGAAAACGGGAUUUUUAUCUCAAUUGACGGUACCAGAGGAAUAAGCACCGGCUAACUCCGUGCCAGCAGCCGCGGUAAUACGGAGGGUGCGAGCGUUAUCCGGAUUUACUGGGUUUAAAGGGUGCGUAGGUGGGCUUAUAAGUCAGUGGUGAAAUCUCCGAGCUUAACUUGGAAACUGCCGUUGAUACUGCAGGCCUAGAGUAUAGAUGACGUUGGCGGAAUAUGACAUGUAGUGGUGAAAUACUUAGAUAUGUCAUAGAACACCGAUUGCGAAGGCAGCUAACGAAACUAUAACUGACGCUGAGGCACGAAAGUGCGGGGAUCAAACA